rnacentral:rRNA from 1 species
UUUAAAUGUAAAAUUAAAUACUAAAGAAGUAUUAGUUAUGUUCUUGAAAUUUAAAAAUUUUGGCGGUAUUUUAGUCUAUUCAGAGGAACCUGUUCUAUAAUUGAUAAUCCACGAUUAAUUAGACUUAAUUUAGUAAUUUGUAUAUCGUCGUUAUUAAAAAUUUUAUAAGAAUAAAAAUUUUUAAGAUUUUAAAUUAAGAAAUAUAUCAGAUCAAGGUGCAGUUUAUAAUUAAGAAGAAAUGGGUUACAAUAAAUUUAUUUAAAUGGAUUUAUAUAUAAAAUUAUAUAUUGAAGGAGGAUUUGAUAGUAAUAAAAUUAAAUUAAAUUUUAUGAUUUUAGCUCUAAAAUAUGU